GCUACUGAGUGCUUCCUCUAUGGCAGGGAUCUAGGAGAAGUUUGUUGCCCUCCCAUCAUUCACGGCUUCACGAUGUCUGAGACAAAUUCUCAGCCAAGAACUGGUGCAGCCUUGUGGGUGUGGCUGCUCCCUCCUUGGGAAGCUUAUGGAGGCUCUGAGGGUAGGGAGGGAGCCUCCAUCAGAUCUUGAAGAAUUCCAGCAAAGCAUAACACGGCAACAAGACAAAGGCACAGCAUGUCCGAGUCUGGGAGCUACACACAGGAGAGCAGGGCACAUGUUGCUUUAGGAUUAGCCACAUGCUAGACACUCUUCUACAUAUUAGGAAUUCAGAGGGAAGUAGAUGAGGUUGUUCCUAGAGCCUUCACAAAGGU
rnacentral:lncRNA from 1 species